rnacentral:lncRNA from 1 species
CUGGUUUUUUAGUUAAUUUUCUAUAUAGACGAGGUCCCACUAUAUUGCCCAGGCUGAUCUGGAACUCCUAGGCUCAAAUGAUCCUCCCGCCUCGGCCUCCCAAAGUGCUGAGGCGGGAGGAUCACCUGAGAUCAGGAGUUCGAGACCAGCCUGGCCAACAUGGUGAAACCCCGUAUCUACUAAAAAUACAAAAAUUAGCUGGGUGUGGUGGCAUGCACCUGUAGUCCCAGCUACUUAGGAGGCUGAGGCGGGAGAAUUGCUUGAGCCCGGGAAGUGGAGGUUGCUGUGAACCAAGAUCAUGCCACUGCACUCCAGCCUGGGCGACAGAGCAAGACUCCGUCUCAUAAAUAAAUAAAUAAACAAACAAACAAAUGUAAACGUCUAGUUCCUUCGUUGCACCAUCCGUUUUUCAAGUGCUCUGCUGCCCUGUGUGCCCUGUGGCUGCUGGACUGGGCAGGGAACAUUUCCAUCUGUGCUGCUCGUCUCUGACACACACAUGCUUGAUCCAUGAUCCCUGCUGGUGAGGAGGCUGUGAGGCCAGGAGGCCCAGAACACACAGCCAUUCCCCCUGCUCCCUGCUCCCGCCCUUGGAGCAGCACCAAUGCGUCUGUAGGCUGUUUCCCACAGCUGCGCUCCCGGAACUCCUGACUGGGAUUGGUCUGGAUGAAACGUGGUCACUUGUCUAACAGGAGUGCUGUCUACAGAGGCUGGAUGCGGGUGACAGUUGCAGUCCCUCCCCGCAAUGCUUUUGCAGUCUGCAUAGGAUGUUAGAAUAACAGCAUGCAGAUGACCGCGCCAUGUCUUAUCAGGAAAGCGUACUGAUGUGGAGGCCAAGAAGCUGCUGGCUGAGAUUUCAGAACUGGGUUUCUAACCUGCCGUGGGCCUUGGACAGCGGCUGCCAUUCUUCUGUGCCUCCCUUUCUCCAUUUCACGAGGCCCCGCUAUCCCUCUACCUCCCCAGGAGGUCCCAGCACAGGCACUGCUCAGGAAGCACCACCGUGAGGUGCGAAGGGUGUGAAGGUACGAAAGACAGGAGGGCACCACAGGCUGGCGGCACCACUCCCCUCGCAGGCCAGCCAGAAGCCAGGCAGCAGUGUGGAGGCUCAUCCUGCCUCUCUGGCUGGUGCCCGACCCCAGCUCUUGAGCCCCCCAAGUCACCGCAACGCCCAGGCCUUGUGUUUUUGCCGAAGCUCGUGCCUCAGAGCCUGGCUCCGACGCUUUCCUCCUAGAAGCCUCCCCUGAUGCGUCCCAGGAACCCUGGCCUCUCCCCUUGUCCUCACCCCAUGCAUCGAGCGCUCCCUGGACUCCACCCCUGCGUGGGUCUCAUUCCUCUUUGUGUCCUGAGGGCUUGGCUCUAGGCCGCCCAGUAGAGGCCGGCUGGAUGAAUGCUGAUGGGACGGUCUCAUCUCUGUCCACAAAACCCCUCCCCCACAGCCAUACCCUCACUGCCAUGUGACUGUGUUGACAGAAGUCUGCUGGCCUCAGAGGUCUGCGGCCCAGGAAAUCUCAGCUGCCAUCAGUGAUAAACAUGACCUCCCUGUGGGCGUCACCUCCACCCCUGUGCUGGAUGGGCCUUCUCAUCGAUUUCAGUGAUCAUGAAGUUAAUCAGCAGUCAGCACUCAAACACGUGCAGAAUCAAUGACAACUGAAAUGAUUAGAAUCCGCAUAAGGAGGGCAUUCUCAUGAGGUAUCUGGGGCUUUUGAAUGUUCUUGGAUGAAACCAGAAAUGAAA